rnacentral:rRNA from 1 species
AUUGAACGCUGGCGGCAGGCCUAACACAUGCAAGUCGAGCGGAUGAAGGGAGCUUGCUCCUGGAUUCAGCUGCGGACGGGUGAGUAAUGCCUAGGAAUCUGCCUGGUAGUAGGGGAUAACGUCCGGAAACGGGCGCUAAUACCGCAUACGUCCUGAGGGAGAAAGUGGGGGAUCUUCGGACCUCACGCUAUCAGAUGAGCCUAGGUCGGAUUAGCUAGUUGGUGGGGUAAAGGCCUACCAAGGCGACGAUCCGUAACUGGUCUGAGAGGAUGAUCAGUCACACUGGAACUGAGACACGGUCCAGACUCCUACGGGAGGCAGCAGUGGGGAAUAUUGGACAAUGGGCGAAAGCCUGAUCCAGCCAUGCCGCGUGUGUGAAGAAGGUCUUCGGAUUGUAAAGCACUUUAAGUUGGGAGGAAGGGCAGUAAGUUAAUACCUUGCUGUUUUGACGUUACCAACAGAAUAAGCACCGGCUAACUUCGUG